UGCUCAAGCGCCUCGGCUCGCAGCGCGAGCUGGCGCAGCUCGACCAGAGCAUCUGCAAGCGGGCCACCGGCCGGCCCCGCUGCGACCUGCUGCAGGCCAUGCCCCGGACCGAGUUCGCGCGCCUCAACGGCGACGUGCGUCUCCUCACGCCCGAGGCGGUGGAAGGCUGGUCGGACCUGGUGCACUGCCCCUCGCAGCGCCUUCUCGACCGCCUGGUGCGCCGCUACGCGGAGACCAAGGACUCGGGCAGCUUCCUGCUCCGCAACCUCAAGGACUCGGAACGCAUGCAGCUGCUGCUGACCCUGGCCUUCAACCCUGAGCCGCUGGUGCUACAGGCAUUUGGAUUGAAAGGAUGGAAAGAUGGCCCUAGGAAACAAGUAGCUUACUAUGUAGGAGAGUUUUCCAUCUGAUGAAGG
rnacentral:sRNA from 1 species